ACCGCCAUCAUGAAUGACACAGUAACUACCCGGACCAGGAAGUUCAUGACUAACCGACUACUUCAGAGGAAACAAAUGGUCAUUGAUGUCCUUCACCCUGGGAAGGCAACAGUACCAAAGACAGAAAUUAGAGAAAAACUAGCCAAAAUGUACAAGACCACACCUGAUGUCAUCUUCGUAUUUGGAUUCAGAACUCACUUUGGUGGUGGGAAGACAAGGGGCUUUGGCAUGAUUUACAAUUCUUUGGAUUAUGCAAAGAAAAAUGAACCCAAACAUAGAGAAAAAGACAUCAAGAAAGCAGUGAAAGGAACGCAGGAACAGAAUGAAGAAAGUCAGGGGGACUGCAAAGGCUAAUGUCGGUGCUGGCAAAAAGGCGAAGGACUAAAGACUCUACAGUGAUGUUAUCUGCAGCCAUUGUAUAGAUGU